rfam:Dipodomys ordii contig_52607, whole genome shotgun sequence.
GGAGAUUUAGCUCAACGGAAGAGCACUUGCCUGGCAAGUACAAGGCCCUGAGUUCUAGCCUCAGCUCUG